rnacentral:RNase_P_RNA from 1 species
GGACGUGAAACGCGGUAACCUCCACCCGGAGCAACAUCAAAUAGGCACGCGAUGAAGGGGCCCCUCGAGCGUGCGGGUAGAUGGCUAGAGGCACGCAGCAAUGCGUGUCCCAGAUGAAUGGCAGCCACGCGGGGCAACCCGUGCACAGAAUCCGGCCUACAGGCCUGCUUUGCCC